rnacentral:rRNA from 1 species
UAGGGAAUCUUCCACAAUGGGCGAAAGCCUGAUGGAGCAACGCCGCGUGUGUGAUGAAGGGCUUCGGCUCGUAAAACACUGUUGUAAGAGAAGAAUGACAUUGAGAGUAACUGUUCAAUGUGUGACGGUAUCUUACCAGAAAGGAACGGCUAAAUACGUGCCA